rnacentral:rRNA from 1 species
UACGAAGGAUCCUAGCGUUGUCCCGGAUUUACUGGGUUUAAAGGGUGCGUAGGCGGACUUUUAAGUCAGUGGUGAAAGCCUGCAGCUUAACUGUAGAAUUGCCAUUGAAACUGAUUGUCUCGAGUGCGGUUGAGGUCACUGGAAUGUAUCAUGUAGCGGUGAAAUGCUUAGAUAUGAUACAGAACACCAAUUGCGAAGGCAGGUGACU